rnacentral:rRNA from 1 species
AUGGGCAUGGGCUUUGUGGCUAGGAAUCAUCUUGGGAAGUGCAUGUUUGCUGGCAAUGAGCAGCUUUAGGGCUUCUCUGAACCGGAGAUGGCUGAGGCGCUUGCCAUCCAGCGUGCUCUUGAGGUUUGUCGAUCUGAAGGCUGUUUGUCAAUUGUUUUGGCAUCUGACUGCCUCUCCAUGGUGAACAAAAUCAAGUCUCCGGCUCAAGAUCGAUCAAGAGUGGGCACUGUUGUCUCGGACAUCAAAUCUCUCGCGUCUGGGUUUACUCAAUGUUCUUUCUUACAUGUUCUCGUAGUUGUGAGCAUUCUGUUAAUCUUUUUUAUCUUGGUGUGGUUCCGGAUUGUAUCAGGGACGAUCUUUGCUGUGAUGUUCAGUAAUCAAUGA